AACUGGAGAUGGUGAGGAUUAAUGGCUGCAAGAAAGGUGACUCUUCCAAUAUGAUAGGAAGCCAAGUAGCCACCCUCGAUGUAUCAAGAUCUUGGUUUCGGACUAUAUACCAAGUGUUCCCAUCUGUUGGAGCUUGUUGAAGAAUAAUAAAUCCUCAAUUGCUGAUUUUGAUCCAAGAUUGUUAGGUCUGCUAAUUCGCAUAUUACCAAUUCAGUGACUCUUGGUUCCAAAUUCGUUUUGGUGGUCAUAGUCUUCUUUAGUCAUGGUUUGGUUCUAAGCGAGUAAGAAUCUCUUUCCAAUCUUCUCUGUUUUCUCUCU